rnacentral:rRNA from 1 species
GACGAACGCUGGCGGCGUGCUUAACACAUGCAAGUCGAACGGAAAGGCCCUGCUUUUGUGGGGUGCUCGAGUGGCGAACGGGUGAGUAACACGUGAGUAACCUGCCCUUGACUUUGGGAUAACUUCAGGAAACUGGGGCUAAUACCGGAUAGGAGCUCCUGCUGCAUGGUGGGGGUUGGAAAGUUUCGGCGGUUGGGGAUGGACUCGCGGCUUAUCAGCUUGUUGGUGGGGUAGUGGCUUACCAAGGCUUUGACGGGUAGCCGGCCUGAGAGGGUGACCGGCCACAUUGGGACUGAGAUACGGCCCAGACUCCUACGGGAGGCAGCAGUGGGGAAUAUUGCACAAUGGGCGGAAGCCGGAUGCAGCAACGCCGCGUGCGGGAUGACGGCCUUCGGGUUGUAAACAGCUUUCGCCUGUGACGAAGCGUGAGUGACGGUAAUGGGUAAAGAAGCACCGGCUAACUACGUG